UACGUAGGGUGCAAGCGUUGUCCGGAAUUAUUGGGCGUAAAGAGCUCGUAGGCGGUUUGUUGCGUCGGCUGUGAAAUCCCGAGGCUCAACCUCGGGUCUGCAGUCGAUACGAGCAAACUAGAGUGUUGCAGGGGAGACUGGAAUUCCUGGUGUAGCGGUGAAAUGCGCAGAUAUCAGGAGGAACACCGGUGGCGGAAGGCGGGUCUCUGGGCAAUAACUGACGCUGAGGAGCGAAAAGCGUGGGGAGCGAAACAGG
rnacentral:rRNA from 1 species